GAAAGAGAGCGCCGGCUGCCAGCCGAGCCUGGGACGCCUUCCGGCCCAGGCUCCCCCGCCCUUCCCUCGGGGCUCCCCGCUCUCUCCCCCGCCACCCUCCGCUCCCCCCUUUACCCCGAGGCGUGCAGCCACUUCUGUGAAGAGGCCAGACUUGAAGUGGGGCGCAGUUAGGACCUCGGGGCGGAAAGCCUGUGGAGCCUAAGGGGCUCGCCCGCGCCUCAGUUCUCCCGGUUUCUGGGCGGGUCUCAGCCCACUCCAGGCUUGCGGACCAACAAGCGGCCGAGAUGAGGGUCCGCUGCUGAGGUCGGAGGCCGAGCUGCGCCCUUCUGCGCGGAGCGCCCUCCCCGCCCCUCGUCCUAAUUUAGAUCCCACACCUGCUCGCCUUUCCUGCUUCCGGAACCCACGCUGGACCCCCACCCCUCCAGACAGCCUCCUUGUCACUGGCCAGAUCCUUCCCCCGACCCAGUGCUGUUCCCCUGGGUGCAGCGUGUCCCUGUGCUCACGCUCUCAGUCCCUCUUUACCUUAGGAAGGGACAGGCCUUUUCCCAGCCGCGGUGGAUGGCUGGAUUGGCGCUUUCAUCUCGGUUACUCUGUGUGUGGUGUCCUGGAACGGUUGUGUGACAGCCCUCUCCCCUCAAGAGAUAAGAUUAAAAAGGAGGAUAGUCUGUAAUCACAUACUUGGAGCCAUCUUUGGUUUUUAGUUUUCAGCAAAUACUUAUUUUUUUCUCACCGAUUUCUCCCGAGAAACAGCAAACAUUUAUUGAGGCGAUAUUCCAGAGUAGUUCAGAUCAGGCGUCUGAUUUGAAUUUAAAUCGUUGGGCCUAGCAAAUGAGUUUCCUGUGCCUCAGUUUCCUCUGUUGUCAGUGGGCAUAAUGAUAGUCCUAUCUCCUUGCGUUGCUGUAGUGAUUAACAAGUCAGUGCAUGUGAAACUCUUAGCUCUGUGUAAGUGCUUGGUAAAUCUUAGCUGUUAUUCUCACGGUGCUCCAGGUGCUGGGAUAAAAGAUGAUAUAAGACAGUUGUGCUUCUUCAAGAAGUUCACUGUCUUGUGGAUAGAUAGGUAGGAUAAUAAUUGCAAAACAGUGUGAGGAAAACAACAGAGAGAAAACAGAGGUAGACAAAAGGAGACAUCAAAUGAUGUAAGAGAGUUGGUCAAGAAAGGCUUCUUGGGCAGGGUGCGGUGGCCCAGGCCUGUAAUCCCAGCACUUUGGGAGGCCAGGAGUUCGAGACCAGCCUGCAAAAAUGCAAAAAUUAGCUGGGCGUGGUGGCGGGCUCCUGUAAUCCCAGGAGCUACUCGGGAGGCUUAGGCAAUAGUAGUAAUCCAGCUACUCGGGAGGCUUGGGCAGGAGAAUCGCUUGAACCCGGGAGGCGGAGGUUGCAGUGAGCUGAGAUUGCGCCACUGCACUCCAGCCUGGGCAACUGAGCGAGACUCCGUCUCAAAACAAAACAAAAAAGAAGAAAAAGAAAAACUUCUUAUAGAGGGAGAUGAACCAGGUGAAGGUAGGCCAAGAAGGCAUUGGACAUCCCCAACUGGAAGCUUCAGAAGCAUGGAUCAAGCUGGAACAGAGGAGUGGGUGGCAGAGCAGCAGGAGGUGAGCAGGCUGGAUAAUACAGGACAAAGCAAAGUAGGUGUUGAAAAGUUUGUGGGCUUUAGCCUGUAAGCUGUGAGGAGUCCUCAAGGGGAAUCAUUCACCAGACUUAUAUUUUUAGUGGAUCAUGCUGGAGUAUGGUCUGGAGAAUAAUUUAGAAGCAG
rnacentral:lncRNA from 1 species